GAUGAAGAACGUAGCGAAAUGCGAUAAGUAAUGUGAAUUGCAGAAUUCAGUGAAUCAUCGAAUCUUUGAACGCACAUUGCGCCCCUUGGUAUUCCGAGGGGCAUGCCUGUUCGAGCGUCAUUACAACCCCUCAAGCUCAGCUUGGUGUUGGGGCCUGCUGCACUGGCAGCCCUUAAAAUCAGUGGCGGCGCCAUCUGGCUCUAAGCGUAGUAAUUCUUCUCGCUAUGGAGUCCUGGUGGAUGCUUGCCAUCAACCCCCAAUUUUUCUAUGGUUGACCUCGGAUCAGGUAGGGAUACCCGCUGAACUUAAGCAUAUCAAUAAGCGGAGGA
rnacentral:misc_RNA from 1 species